rnacentral:rRNA from 1 species
GCGGCCUAUCAGCUUGUUGGUGGGGUGAUGGCCUACCAAGGCGACGACGGGUAGCCGGCCCGAGAGGGUGUCCGGCCACACUGGGACUGAGAUACGGCCCAGACUCCUACGGGAGGCAGCAGUGGGGAAUAUUGCACAAUGGGCGCAAGCCUGAUGCAGCGACGCCGCGUGGGGGAUGACGGCCUUCGGGUUGUAAACCUCUUUCACCAUCGGCGAAGCCGGGAGCUUUUGUUUCUGGUGACGGUAGGUGGAGAAGAAGCACCGGCCAACUACGUGCCAGCAGCCGCGGUAAUACGUAGGGUGCGAGCGUUGUCCGGAAUUACUGGGCGUAAAGAGCUCGUAGGUGGUUUGUCGCGUUGUCCGUGAAAUUCCCUGGCUUAACUGGGGGCGUGCGGGCGAUACGGGCAGACUGGAGUACUGCAGGGGAGACUGAAAUUCCUGGUGUAGCGGUGGAAUGCGCAGAUAUCAGGAGGAACACCGGUGGCGAAGGCGGGUCUCUGGGCAGUAACUGACGCUGAGGAGCGAAAGCGUGGGGAGCGAACAGGAUUAGAUACCCUGGUAGUCCACGCCGUAAACGGUGGGCGCUAGGUGUGGGUUCCUUCCACGGAAUCCGUGCCGUAGCUAACGCAUUAAGCGCCCCGCCUGGGGAGUACGG